GUGCUUGCUUUGGCAACACAUGUACAAAAACUGGAAUGGUAAAGAGAACUCUAGCAUGGCUCCUACAUAAGAAUAAUAUGCAAAUUCAUGAAGCAGUUCAUAUUUU
rnacentral:snRNA from 1 species